rnacentral:rRNA from 1 species
GAUGAACGCUGGCGGCGUGCUUAACACAUGCAAGUCGAACGAAGCACUUUAUUUGAUUUCCUUCGGGACUGAUUAUUUUGUGACUGAGUGGCGGACGGGUGAGUAACGCGUGGGUAACCUGCCUUGUACAGGGGGAUAACAGUUGGAAACGGCUGCUAAUACCGCAUAAGCGCACGGCAUCGCAUGAUGCAGUGUGAAAAACUCCGGUGGUAUAAGAUGGACCCGCGUUGGAUUAGCUAGUUGGUGGGGUAACGGCCCACCAAGGCGACGAUCCGUAGCCGACCUGAGAGGGUGACCGGCCACAUUGGGACUGAGACACGGCCCAAACUCCUACGGGAGGCAGCAGUGGGGAAUAUUGCACAAUGGGCGAAAGCCUGAUGCAGCGACGCCGCGUGAGCGAAGAAGUAUUUCGGUAUGUAAAGCUCUAUCACCAGGGAAGAUAAUGACG